rfam:Vigna angularis cultivar Jingnong 6 chromosome 9, whole genome shotgun sequence.
GUGUCGAUGAGGAUAACAUUCACCAAUACCAUCUUUCGGGACUGAAUGGCAUUUUAUGCCUUGCUGUUAAUUCUGCAAUUCUGAGGCCG